GAUGAACGCUGGCGGCGUGCCUAAUACAUGCAAGUCGAACGGGGAGUAGCAAUACUCUUAGUGGCGAACGGGUGAGUAACGCGUUGGUACCUGCCCCGAAGCGGGGGAUAACGGACCGAAAGGUCCGCUAAUACCCCAUGUGCUCGGUAACGAGUAAAGGUGAAAACCACUUUGGGAGGGGCCUGCGUCCCAUCAGCUAGUUGGUAAGGUAACGGCUUACCAAGGCGAUGACGGGUAGGGGACCUGAGAGGGUGGCCCCCCACAAUGGAACUGAAACACGGUCCAUACACCUACGGGUGGCAGCAGUAGGGAAUAUUGGUAAUGGGCGCAAGCCUGAACCAGCAACGCCGCGUGUGCGAUGACGGCCUUCGGGUUGGAAAGCACUUUUGACUGGGACGAGGAAGGACGGUACCGGUCGAAUCAGCCUCGGCUAACUACGUG
rnacentral:rRNA from 1 species